AUUGAACGCUGGCGGCAGGCCUAACACAUGCAAGUCGAGCGGGGUUUUCGAGCCUAGCGGCGGACGGGUGAGUAAUGCGUAGGAAGCUACCCGAUAGAGGGGGAUACCAGUUGGAAACGACUGUUAAUACCGCAUAAUGUCUACGGACCAAAGUGUGGGACCUUCGGGCCACAUGCUAUCGGAUGCGCCUACGUGGGAUUAGCUAGUUGGUGGGGUAAUGGCUCACCAAGGCGACGAUCCCUAGCUGGUUUGAGAGGAUGAGCAGCCACACUGGAACUGAGACACGGUCCAGACUCCUACGGGAGGCAGCAGUGGGGAAUAUUGGACAAUGGGCGCAAGCCUGAUCCAGCCAUGCCGCGUGUGUGAAGAAGGCCUUCGGGUUGCAAAGCACUUUCAGUAGGGAGGAAGGGUGUUGUGUUAAUAGCACAGCAUUUUGACGUUACCUACAGAAGAAGCACCGGCUAACUCUGUGCCAGCCGCCGCAGUAAUAC
rnacentral:rRNA from 1 species